GAGGUCAUGUUAAAGUCGGUGCAAUGCUUUAAUUGCGUGAAAGGGUAAAAUGGGAGUGAGCAGCGAGAGGAGGGGAAGCGGAGAGCGGCCGGUGGUGGAGCUGGUGGAGCGGCCGGUGGUGGAGCGAGUGGAGCGGCCGGUGGUGGUGCGGCCGGAUCGCCGGUGGUAGUGAAGGGCAGCGGCGGUAGUAAGAAGGCGGAGAUGAGUGUGGGCAGCAGGUGAGCGUGGGACGAGGUGAGUGUGGGGCGCAGGUUCCAGUUUCAAGUCUAAAAACGAGGCUGCCGCUCGAAUACCGCUACCUCCUCGACCUAGGCGCACGCGGACGAAACCUAGACCGCUGCCUCCACCACCUACGCUGCAAACUUCAUGUGUACCCGCCGCCGGACGAGGGGCGGCGCCGUACCUCCAGCUCCCCGCCGCGCCGCGGCUCCGGCUCGGACCACCACUGCGCCUGCUGCUUGCUCCUCCACCACAUGCUCGACGCCGUUCGGUGCGACCACUUCCUGGAUCCCCGCCGCCCGCGCCCUCCGGUUCCGCCCGUCCGCGGCGAUCACCGACCUCGUCGAACUCGUCCUCCCGUGCGGCUCGAGCCGACCCCGGAGUACUCAACCCGCCGUAGACCGCGGCGUCCCAGUCACGCGGGAAGCGGCGGGAGGAGCACCACAGGCAGGAACAGGAGCAGCAGAAGUGACCGGCGAAGGACGUCCCGGGGCUGCGAAGGAGCGCUAAGUGGGGCCAUGUACACCUGCUGAGGUGUGGGGCCUGUCAGAGGAGGUGCCUGGUUCUGAACCUCUGUAGACUAAGUAGUUUAGUUCUUCCCCUCCCCCACUGGUUUUUUAACUCGAACUACUUAGAAGGUACCUCCGUUACCUUCUCGUCUUUGUCGGAAUUCUCCUGUGAGGACCACUCGUAAGUCCUUUUUCUUGUGAACCGACUUGAAGUCCUUUUCCUACGUGACUUAGAAUGAUCGACAACCACUUCACAGUAAAAGAGUGUUAUAUUCUGUAGGCCUGAGAUAGGAACCACCAGCUCGUCGGAAUUGAUGCCGACUUAUUAAUACAACUUCGAACGACAACACCAGUACGUUGAUAAAGGUCCAUACUAGAUUACUGAGCAGCCUUUCUUUGGACAGUGUUUCUCGGAAAACCGAAUUGGGAGCAAUGUACACCUUUAAAACCAUUAUGAAACUUUAAAACCUACACAGGACCAACGUUAAAGGACUUUGGUAUGUCCACAUCUGAUGUUACGAAAGAUCAUCUUUUGGUAAUUAUUUUCUUAUCUGUUUAACAAUAAGAUAAGACAAGAUGUUUUUGUCCCCAUUAUCUUACUUAACCGAAUAAGUGUAAAGUGUAAGUAAAAUCGAUUAGUAAGACGGUAAAUCACGAGGUAUAGUCACACGUUCGAAUCAUCACCAAAUAAAAGUCAGUAAAUAAACUUUACAGUAUCCAGUUCAACAAAUGUACGACGGCCUCAGGAGACGAUCAAUCACGGCUGACACUACUACAAUUGAACUAUAACGUAUACAAAGAAACGAGUCUUGGUAACCAAUCCUGUGAUGAGUCUUGGUAUCCUUGUCAUACAGUCUCACACUGUCUAAUCCGAAAACUACGAAAGGGGUGAAGACGGAAGCUAUAGAAGUUUAUGUUUUCAAACGUCCGAAACUAGGUAAACUUUCCAGUUGAAUAAAACCUGCUGUCAAACUAGAACCUGUCCAUUCGAUCUAUAAAAGGGGAAGAUUGGUAACUACCAGUUGUCAAUAGUAGGAAUGAUGAGGGACCUCAUAAUUCGUCUGAUACCCAGCUUCUCCACAAGGGGAACAGUAGGAAAAUAAACAAGUUUAACCGGCGAAUUUAUUUAAGUGCUCAUGAUCAGAGAAGACAGGUUUAAAAUUGCUUCCAAUACGGGAGCUAGAGUAACACGGCUGUCUUGGUCAAAUUCGUCUCUCAGACUCAGGCUCCUCGAGCGGGCCUCCUUCUUCUCUAUAAGGUCAAAUGUUACCAAGUCCUCGUCUUUCCUCGUCGCUCGUCGUCGCCGCCGACUGGAGCUCGAGAGCCAACCUCACCUCCCUCCGCCGGCCGCUCCCUAUACGCCGGUCGCCCCUUCCUAAGCCUCAACGCCGCCUCGUCCGUUGGCCGCCCCUUUCCGCCGGCGGCCACUCCCUCGAAAGCUAGCGCCGCUCCUUCCCGCUGGUCUCCCCUAGUCCGAGAGCUAACCUCGCCGUGUCCGUUGGCCGCCCCUUUCCGCGGCCUCUACACCUGCUGCCUCCUCGGACCGCUUCCCCUCCUCGCUGCCUCCUUCUGCUACCUCAGGAGCGCCUCCCUUCCUCGCUGCCUCCUUCUGCUGCCGGGCACGCUAAAGUUUAGCUACCCACCCCCUCCCCAUCAAACCAUUAAAGUGAGCAAAAGUGGACCAGCCUUUUGGGGGAGGUUGCUGUUAAUAAAGCCUUGCCUCCCUCAUCUUUGAUGCUGGAGUGUGUGGUAUAGAAUGCGCCGAAAGGAGCAUGCACUUUGGCACCAGGCGCUGUGAGGG
rnacentral:rRNA from 1 species